rnacentral:lncRNA from 1 species
UGAGUAAAAGUAAUAGUGAAUACUGAAUAGUUCACUCAAAAUGUUAGCAGCUAAAGAAAGGUUUCUCUUUCUAGUUUCUUUCAGAAGGUGUUGGCCAAAACACUGUAGUCCAGUGAUUCUUCUUCCAGAGCUCCUGCAUUGCACUUUUCAUGAGCAUGCUAUUGUGCUCAUAAACUACUGAACCGAAGGAAGGAGCAUGGUCAUUG